UGGUUUCAUUAAUUAUUCACAGAUUUUGACUUCCUCAAGGUUCGGGUUCUGUGUCUAAUCCCCACCUCUGUAUUCUUUCCCAGCAUUUAGUACAGUGAUCUUCACACAGUAACCAAUGACUAAAUACUAUUACCAUGACUACUACCAUUAAUGACUUGACAUGACAGUUAGUUACCACCUAAUUUAUGAGGUCCAGCGGCUGGUCAACACCAUCUCUGCAGUAAUCACCUGAACCCAGUGGACAUCUUUGGAGAUCAAAUGAGAGUGGUCACCUGCCAUUUGUGAUGGGGUGGAGUCAUUGAGGAGCAUCAGAAACUGAAGAAACUGGAAGCUAUUUUGGGAUCCAAAUACACUUUUUGUGAUCUAUCAUUUAA